GCCUCACUGGUGUAGUGGGAGCACGCGUCCCUGGUGUGGAUAAAAGGCGGGUUCGAGUCCCGCCUCAGGUC